UGUGUUCUGGGCAGCCUGCUUGCUAUUGUUCAAAAUGUGUAGCUGCAAACAUUAUGACUCGUGCCGCUUUUAUUCAUUCAGCCACUAUCCCUCCUUGAUGCUAUCGUUUCCGAAAAGAGAGGAUUAUACAGAUUUUGCAAUCAUUCUUUAGACAACAAGGACAACAGCGUUGUAGAGAUGAUUGAUUUGAUUUAAUCGUCGUUUCAGUCCAGCAUUUCCCUAGCUCCCACGCAAACCAAUAAUGCCUGGAUUCUCGCAGAUGUCCUGGAAGUCGCAUUUAUUUUAAAUCGACAUCUCGACAGAAAGAUUCCUCUAUCAGUGCAACGCAGGCAUCCAUUAUCUCACCGUGCUGAUUUACAUUGAGAAACCCGGAUUGUCUGCUCCAUGACCUGUUGAGACAGAAUAAAACAAGUGGCUGAAGCAUAACGUGAGUUGAAGUCACAUUCCAGGGAACUCUGCCCAGAAUUGUCCUGUCC